rnacentral:lncRNA from 1 species
GGGGAAGAAUGGAAUGAACUUUAGCCGUACGUGUUUUGUGAAGCCAGUCUCAAAUAUAUUUGCUGAGUCCUAAGAAUACACUUCUCAAGCAAAUAUUAAUUUUAAGGACAAGUAAAUAAUCUAGAUGACCAAGUUAUUUAAGAGGAAAAGUUGCAUAAAGUUUUGUUGCACUUUGUUGAGUCAGAGGAGAUCAUAUUCUAUUCAUAAAACAUUUUUCUACAAGUAAACUAUUAGGUACCUGGGUUCGGAACCUAACUAUCUCACCACACCCACUCACCCAAAAGCACAGAGAAAGGAAUAAACAAAUGAACUGAAUGUAUUCACAGCAAACAAUGUCAAUUACAAAGAUGAUCCGGGAGCCUAAUCCCCCUCACAAGGUCAAGGACCUGUCUGUACAAAGAAUCUGACUAAAACUCCCCUCUGACAAUAUAACAGAAUCCUAUAUAUACCAUUCCUCUGCACCUAAACCCAUUACCCAUUAUGCCCCUAUCCUCCUAUAACCUAUCACUACACCCCUCUGCAAAACAACCUUGUCCUCAAGGUUAGAACAAUGAAGCUUGAGCCCAUGGCAUUGUGAUAUGGUCUGAUCAUAGGAAGGGAACCCGCUGCUACUACCUGCACUUGAAACACAACCCAAGAGAGCCUCCUCGAGUAGCAGGGGCAAUCUAUCCAAGGUGUUGAAUGAGCCAUUCACUUGGCCAUUGGAGGCAAGUUCAUUUAAUUCACUUUCGAACUCAAAAGUUUCACUAUUUUUUACAUCAUCAGUUUCAUAAUGGGCUGGAAGUAUGCAUAGAUGUACGCCUAGCUCUCCACUGAUUCUCCUUAUAAGUUGGUAUUUACGAAUAAAUUCCAACUACUGAGAUAUUAUGUGAGAUAUUAUGUGGGUUGGGCCUAACAUAAUUUCAUCAUUUUUUUGAAGAGAUUUGUCACUAAUAGGUCCACCGUUAGUCUUCUGAACACCCCUACGACUGGCCUCUUCAUCCCUGAGUGUCAUGCUCUCUAUCCCUCCAACAAGCAUCUCUAAGGACGAAUUCAUUAUAACAUUCUCAAUUGUGAUUCCACGAGCAGUGGCAACAAGCUGAACCCACGUUGUGCAAUUGUGCUUGCAGCCAGUGCUUCAUGUUUUGUACCAAUCUCAUCAAUUACAAUAACUUGUGGCAUGUGAUUUUCAACUGCUUCUAUCGAUACCUGCAACUUCAGAUCCGGGGCUUGGGUGGUGGUCGAAAUAAGAGACCGAAUUUAUGGGACCAUCUUCGUGUCUUCAUUAUUUCUUUGAAGGUAAGUAGCUAAAUAAGUUCUUCUACCAUUCAUUUCCUUCCCCCUUCUUUCAACCGUGCGGCUUGGGUUGGUUUUAUUUUGUUGUUCAUCCCCCAAGCGCACCUGGUACCUUGCCUACGAAAGUGUGGCUCGCACCACUGUCCAUCAAAAUUAAAACUCGUUUCCUCUCAAUUUCUCCUUGCAAUUUCAUCGUUUUGGGUUGCAUCAGGCCCCAACAGAAAACGCAGAUAGCUCUAUCUGCAUCUGAGCUAACUCUGUCUCUAUCGCUGCUCCAUCUUCCUCCUCAUCCUGAGACAUAAUAACAUCUUCAAACAUCUUUCUGGACAUUGAUGACCUGGGCCGAAAGCCCCUCCACACCUGAAACAACUGCCCUCCUCCCUUCGUUUCGCAAACUCUGAGUAGGGUAAAUUCCCAGAAUUUCUCCCUCUGUUAUCGAAGUUUGUCUUCGUAACCCCGCUCGCCUGUAUCACCUCCUUGGGCACCGACCCACUACUCUCAGUUGGCCCCGUUCAGUUUUGGGUUUGUCGACGGGGUUCAACCCACGACACCACCCCGCUCGGCCUACUCCAAUUCGUCAGGUUUCUUCCUACUCCUCCUCCUCCGAUCUUCGCUCCUCCGUGAAGCUCCUCCCCAUCCCGUGUGAUUGGCAUCACGGUCAUCAACUCCUGAGGAUCGAGAAGACCCACCUGGUUGCGUAUCGGUUCUUGCAAUUCUCUCAUGGUCGAUGUUGGGGCAUCUUCUUCCCCGGUUCCCAACUGCUUAUUGGUCACCACCCCUUCAACAGUUGUGCCCCUAUUCCGUUCUCCAAAUCGCCACACCAUUACCCCCUUCAGUCCUUCCUAAGAACGAUUUUUGGCUUUAGCCUUCCAGGCCCGCACCCAAUACCCAGCACUUCCCUCCAUGCUAUUGUAUGCCCGUCGCACUUUUUCUUCCUCUAUCACCCCCUACUUCUCAAAAACUGUCUCCGCCCUAGUAAUCCACCCCAUAGGAUCAAACCCUUCGAAAACGGGUAAAUCUACUCUCUUCUUCCCGCUGGGUUGCACUUCAUGGUGUUCAUCCCCUCUCUCUCCUUCUUCCUCUCGCGGACCCAAUGUUGGUCGUCCUGGUUGUAGCCUCGACCACCCAACAUCCUUAUGAUUUCUUGCAAAUCUUGACGAAUUGCUGCAUAAUCUGAUCGCGGCGCCCCUGUCUACACCUUCAUCCUAUCAACUGCAAUUUCCUUCACCCCCACACGAUUCCAACAGCGUCUCAAUCCUUCAACUUCUGGAAAUGUCAGGUUUUUGAUAACUUCUUGAUCAGGUUCUUGAUUCGGCACCCCUACUGCGAAACGGCAGUUCUCCUGUUUCCGGCAGACUCUUGAUUCGGCAACCCCACUACGAUCUGGUAGGUCAGACCAACUUGUUAGGUACCUAGAUUCGGAACCUAACUAUCUCACCACACCCACUCACCCAAAACCACACAAAAAGGAAUAAACGAAUGAACUGAAUGUAUUUACAGCAAAGAAUGUCAAUUACAAAGAUGAUCCGGUAGCCUAAUCCCCCUCAUAAGGUCAAGGACCUGUCUUACAAAGAAUCUGACUAAACUCCCCUCUAACAAUAUUACAGAGUCCUAUUUAUACCAUUCCUCUGCACCUAAACCCAUUACCCAUUAUGCCCCUAUCCCCCUAUAACCUAUCAUAAACUCACUCUAUUGCUUGUCUAUGUGGAUGAU